rnacentral:lncRNA from 1 species
AUUUACUUGAUUGGAACAAGUAAUAAAAUUCUUUGUAAUUUUGUUUUUCUUAGAUUUUUUUUUUUUUUUUUUUUUUUUAAUUCUGUGAAAAGAAUUUAUUAAAAUACUUUUCUUAAAUUUUUUAGGAACCCUGUGAUUUUCAAUUAAAGCUAUUUUUAUUCUAAUUAAAAGUAACAUGAUUUUGAAAUAGGAAAAAAAAUACAAGAAUGAAAAUGUAAUGGAUUAAGUUGCCAACUAAGGCCACAGAAGUCUUAAAGGAAUUUCCAUUCAGAUUUAUCAAUAAGUGAUUUCUUUAUCAACAAGUUAUUUGUAAUGACCACUUCAAUCCUCCAAUAUAACAUUCAAAUUACAAAGUCUAUCAAACGACAUAAUUGCAAUUUAUUUCAUGGAAAGGGCAAUACUUCAAAAUUUCAGUCUACAAAAUUAUGUAGCACUCAUAAAUGUAAAUAAAUAUAAAUUUAUUUAAAUAUAUAUAUAUAUAUAUAUAUAUAUAUAUAUUUUGUAUGUGAAAGCAUCUAAUAGCUUUGAAAGACCUUGGUGGUUAUGAUCCAUAUUGGAAUAUGAGCUGGUUUUAAUCUCUCAAGCUUUAGAUUGUAGAAAACUACACCUCUUUGAUAAUAGAAGGAAUGUGCCAAGGUAGACUAAUAUAGCAAGUAGCAUAUAAUUCAAGCCUAUCCAUCCACCACAUCAACAUACUAAUUGGGCUUAAUUAUUUGGCUUGGAAACCCCAAGUCUUAGGAAAGCUUGCCAAAUAAAGAUGGAAAAGAAGGCAUUCUUCAAGCAAAGAAUAAUUUAUUGAAAUUCAAGUCAAACUUUGCAACUUUAUAGAAAGAAUUUGCUUGAAAAAUGGAAGACUAACUUAGUUUAAUCUC